rnacentral:rRNA from 1 species
UUUUAUAUUGGAGGGCAAGUCUGGUGCCAGCAGCCGCGGUAAUUCCAGCUCCAAUAGCGUAUAUUAAAGUUGUUGCGGUUAAAAAGCUCGUAGUUGGAUCUCAGCUCACGCUAAGUGGUCCACUUAAUGGUGGUUACUACUUAGCUGAGCAUUUUACAGAUUUGUCUCUUGAUGCUCUUCACCGAGUGUCAAGAGUGGUCUGUACGUUUACUUUGAAAAAAUUAGAGUGCUUAAAGCAGGCAACUCGCCCGAAUAAUCUUGCAUGGAAUAAUGGAAUAGGACCUUGGUUCUAUUUUGUUGGUCUCCGGAAUCUGAGGUAAUGAUUAAGAGGGACAGACGGGGGCAUUCGUAUUGCGCCGCUAGAGGUGAAAUUCUUGGACCGGCGCAAGACGAACUACAGCGAAAGCAUUUGCCAAGAAUGUUUCAUAAUCAAGAACGAAAGUAGAG